CUCACCUUUUCAUCUUUUCAUGCUGGGAGGAAGACCCCCUGAGGUCCCUGGGAUCCGAGAACAGAGGUGCCUGACUCAGCAUCUUAGUGGCAGCGCCAGGAAGUGCCUUGGCUCAGAGCAGACGAACAUUUCUGGACUUGCUGUGGGGAGAGGCAGGCUGAAGCUGUGGUGCCAGGAAACAGGCUCUCCUAGGUGGAUGCAGAUGUAAUGGACAAGGGCCGCAGGCCUGGUAAGGACCCCAGGCUGCCCGCCUGAUGGGGUCAGAGGAGGGGACAGAGCCAACGAGCCUCGCUCUGGCUUCUGCUGGUUGGCUGUGACUCCUGGUCUGCCUGGAUGGAGCCGGAGGAUAAGAAGAACAGGAAGAGAAAGGAAAGCAGCUGGAGGAUGCAGGAUGCCCGUCUGCUGUGUGGUGGAGGGGCCUGAGGAGGAAGGAGGCAUGCGGGCCCCCAGCCAAGAGGCUCAAUUAGGGUUCCCUGGCAUCCACAGGCCGGAGGAACAGCCAGUGCCUGUGGGAGGUCAGAAACCGACAGACUUGGAGCCAGUGAAUCUGGGCUGAAGACCUGCUGCUCUGCGUCAAAUUGCCAACCUCCUUGAGUUCUGAGCAGAGAAGGCAAUGGCACCCCACUCCAGUACUCUUGCCUGGAAAAUCCCAUGGACGGAGGAGCCUGGUAGGCUGCAGUCCAUGGGGUUGCGAAGAGUCAGACAUGACUGAGUGACUUCACUUUCACGCAUUGGAGAAGGAAAUGGAAACCUACUCCAGUGUUCUUGCCUUGAGAAUCCCAGGGAUGGCGGAGCCGGUUGGCUGCCGUCUAUGAGGUCGCACAGAGUUGGACACGACUGAAGCGACUUAGCAGCAGCAGCAGCAUGAGCUCUGAGCGUCACUCCACGGUAUAGGCGACCCUGCUGACCUUAAAGACUUAGAGUGAAGAUUCAACAAUGAAGCUCCAGCCCAGCUCCUAGCACAGAAGCCAGCACGAUGGCCGUGGUCCUGGGUUCCUGGGGUGCCUGCGGGCUGGCUCCCGCCAUCCACCUGCUCCUGGAGUUCACACACUCAGACCAAGAGGAAAACGAGGAAAGGAUGCAGGUUCUCCCACAGUGACAGAAGCCAGCGGCUGAGCCCAAAGUCCACGCUGGGUCUCGACUUCCCCAAUCCACUGUACUUAAUCGAUGGGUUCACAAGCUUGGCCAGAGCAAUGCCAUCCUUCGCAGGGACAUGAGGGGAGACAGAGGGGGAGAAGGUACUGGGCAUGUGUUGGAGAACCAGGUUAUGGACGUCUGUAUGUACGCCGCCGUCAGGAUCUGCUACAGAUCCGACUUUGAGCAACUGGAGCCCGGUUACUCGAAGGAGAUCCCUGAGAAGUGCCAUCAAGUCCUGAUCUUUGACCCCUCCCAUCAGCCUGACCCUCCAUGGUCCCCACAUCUUCAGAAUAGCCCUGCUGGAAGUGACCCAUCCCAUCUGACCCUGGCUCACCUGGGAUCAGCAGGAGAAGGAAGAAUCUUUGACCAGCAAGAGCAGCCAGCUUGCAAAGACAGGAUGGCUGACAUGAGGUGCAAACAAGCAAGUCAGGGAGGUCACUUGUUUGACCUCCAGGAUGCAUUGCCCAGAGCCCGCAGGGUGAUUCCAGCUGUGCAGGGCACCCGUGCCCAGAGCCCCUGUGAGCCUGGCAGCUGACAACAUGCACCCAAGGGGCCAGGUCUCGGCUGGGGCUCACCUGGAGACACACCCUCCAUCCUGCUGUCCACGGGCUCCCUCCUGCCUGGUACCACUCCCACCACCUGACCGUUCUGGGCUCUGCCAAGAGCCGCCUGUUCAGCCGGUGUGAGCUGCUCACACAUAGCUUUCCUGCUGUUUCCUGGGGUUUAUUAUGACCUUGGGAAGAGUCAAAGCCAUUUUCUCCUUGGCAGGAAUGGGCUUUGGGCUUGUCUGAAUUCUAGCCACAGAUGCAUCCAGAAUGUUCCCACAGCCACAAGAGCUCCACAGUCAGGGUCACUUAACCAUCAAAUUGGGAGCCAGGUAACCAAGAUCUUGGUUGGUUCCUGCACCCACUGGUGGGAGGGGCCUGACAACCCAUGAAGCGUCCUUUUCUGCUCCCAAAGCCCGCUUCUUAUACAUGCCUGGCCUCCACCAGCCACACAGACAACUCUCCUAGGAACUUCCCUCCUCACUUGCCAUGCAUGGGCUGCAGCCUCUUGCCAUUGAAAGCACAGACCACAGCCAUCAGCAUAUAGAUUGAGCUGUUAACACAGGAAGAACAGAGUGAAAAGGGAGGGGGCUUACAGACCUGAGGUGGGCUUUUCUGGGGGAAGGUGGUUUCUGAGAUGAGGGGUCAACCAGCUGCUUCUGCCACCUCACCAAGGAGAAGGGGAGAGUCCGAAUAAGGGGGUCAUCACUAUGCCUGGCCCCUCCCCCAUAGGGGCAGAGGAAGGGGCAGGAAGCAGGGCUGGCGUGUCUCUGCACCCCCACUGCCAGUCCCAGGCCAUCACCCCGACACGUCCUGCUUGCUGAAGGAUCUCCCUGUCCAGUCUCUACUUUCCAUAGUGGGUCUUGAUUCUCCUUUGAAUCUUGGCCACAAGCAGACCUUUGCUGAGUCUGUGACCACAAGGCAUUUAAGAUGCAAUGUUAGUUUCCCCCACCCCGGGGGAAGGGCGGGAGGCAGGUGGCAGGGCUGGAUUGGAGCCCAGGAUGAUGCUUGGUGGGAAGCUGGAGGGGCAGGUAGACUCAGAUUACACACUUGGGAGUCCAGACGAGGGAGCUGAUGCCUCGUGAGAUGAAACGGUUUGUUUACCGAGAGCUUGUGCUCAUUGAUGGGAGAGCAAGACUACGCUCAGGUCAUUGGACACCCGAGCCUUCCUGCAGCUGUGGAGCCUAUCCCAUCCAGCAGUGGCUCAGGUGAUGACGGGUGGCACAGCUCUGGGAGCAGAGGGGCACCCCUGUGUAACCUCGACCCCUUCCAGAUGUCCCUGCCUUGCACCAGGGGUUACAUGCAUCCUGGGGGCACACUUGGGAGGAAUGACCUUUUAGAGGUGUUAUGCCUGGAUAAACCUCCAGACCCUGUGGGAAUCAAAGCUCUGAGUGGAGUCCUGCAGUGUCUGCUGUGGCCUCCACGCCUCCCCUGUCUCCUGAAUGUCUCCUGCUUCCAGGGGGCUCAUGGCUUUCCUAGUGACACUGGGAUUCGUGGUUGUCACCACUCCUGCAGCUGACCCUGUGUACUCCCUCCUCCUACUUCUCUCCAUGUGCUGCUCUGUGAACAGCUGUUCCUGCCUGGGGAGGAGCACCCAGAUCUGCAGACCAGGCUCCUGCUGGUGAUGUGAGUGCCACUGCACACACGGCCACACACACUCGACAUCAUCUCUUGCACACUUGCCACGUGCUGGAUGGCGGAGUGCACAUCACAUGUGACGGGAUCUCUGCCCCAAGCAGUGGUCAGACGAUUAUAACCCCAGUUUCAGAGUUCAUGAGUUUAUUAAAGAAUUGGAAUUUUGAACUGUCAGAACAUAGGAGUCUUAGCAUCCUAGGCCAAUUUCCUCAUAGACCUACAUACACAGCAUAAGUUAUAGUAUCUCUCAAUAAAAUCUUCCAGGAGGGCUUCCUUGGUGGUCCAGUGGUUAAGAAUCCAUGUUGCAAUGCAGGGGACACAAUUUCGGUCCCUGGUUCUGGGAAUAUCCCACAUGCCCUGGGCGGCUAAGAUCGUGUGCUGUGAAUACCGAAGCCCACAUGCAGUGGCUACUGAAGACUGUGUGCCUACAGCCUGUGCUCCACGACAAGAGAAGCCACCAAAACAUAACUAGAGAGAAGGCUGCACUAGAGAAGAGCCCAUGCAGCAACGAAGAUCCAGUCCAGCCAAAAAUAAAUAAAUAAUAUAAAUUGUAUAUAAAAAUAUCACCGGGGGAAGAGGAAGCAGGUGCCAGGCUGUGAAGGUGGCAAGAAGAAGCCCCUGAAGCAGCCCAAGAAGCAAGACAAGGAGAUGGAUGAGGGAGAUAAGGCAUUCAAGCAGAAACAGAAGGAGGAGCUGAAGAAACUUGAGGAGCUAAAAGUGAAGGCCAGGGGAAAGGCCCCCUGGCCACAGGUGGAAUUAAGAAAUCUGGCAAAAAAAUAAGCUGUUCCGUGGACCUAAGACAGUGAUGAUCCUUAGUUCCAUUCCUCUGCAAACACCGGCAUUCCCUGCCAUAACAGCCUUUGCAUCCUCUAGCUAAGAUGAAGUCUUGUCUUGGAACUUAUUGUACAUUUAAGAAUAAACUUUUGUAAAAAAACAAAACAAAAAUCA
ensembl:lncRNA